UACGGGGGGAGCAAGCGUUGUUCGGAUUUACUGGGCGUAAAGGGCGCGUAGGCGGUCAGCACAAGUCAGUUGUGAAAUCUCCGGGCUUAACUCGGAAAGGUCAACUGAUACUGUGCGACUAGAGUGCGGAAGGGGCAACUGGAAUUCCUGGUGUAGCGGUGAAAUGCGCAGAUAUCAGGAGGAACACCGGUGGCGAAGGCGGGUCUCUGGGCCGUAACUGACGCUGAGGAGCGAAAGCAUGGGGAGCGAACAGG
rnacentral:rRNA from 1 species